AGUGGGAACGCCCACAAGCCACUGGGUGCAGCUCCCAGAUGGACCGGCCCAAGUUUCACGCUGGGAUCAGAGCACUAAACUGCCUGGAGUUCUCCCUGGAAGACUGUGUUUCCUAAGGCCCACCCCUCCAGAGGGGAGGAAGACUGAAGAAGAAUGGCCAGCUCUAAUUGUCAGGACAUGGUCUGUGGGUCAGUGACAUUUAGGGAUGUGGCUGUUGACUUCUCUCAGGAGGAGUGGGCCUGCCUGGAUGCUACUCAGAAGGUCUUAUACAGGGACAUAAUGUUGGAGACCUACAGCAACCUGGUCACAGUGGGUAAACCUGUGCCCCAUGAAUGGGGGAUGUUUCCUCUACACUGUGGGCUUUCUUCAUGUGAAUUAAAAGUCAUGGCUGUCUUUUAAUGUUUAAUUGAAGUUGGGUUUGGUGUCCCAUGCCUGUCAUUCCUUCACUCUGAAGGCUGAUGCAACAAGAUUGCUGUGAGCUCCAGGUCACUCAGAUACACAGUGAGUUCCAGGCUAGCCUAGUCUACAUGCUGAGUCCCUGUUUCAAACAAAACAAACUAUCUAAAUGAAAUAAGAAAGUAAAGAAAUAAAUCAAUAAAUAUAAUUGUGGGCUAGAGAGAUAACUUGGUAGUUACUUCCACACCUGGUAUUGAA
rnacentral:lncRNA from 1 species